AUGUACAUGCAUACAAUUUUAAUUCAUUGGAACCCAUCAAAACUCCACAAUUAAGCGUGCUUGGGAUAGAGUAGUACUAGGAUGUGUGACCUCUUGAGAAGUCCUAGUGUUUUACAUG
rfam:Picea glauca, whole genome shotgun sequence.